UGACCUCAAAUCAGGUAGGACUACCCGCUGAACUUAAGCAUAUCAAUAAGCGGAGGAAAAGAAACUAACAAGGAUUCCCCUAGUAACUGCGAGUGAAGCGGGAAAAGCUCAAAUUUAAAAUCUGGCAGCCUUUGGUUGUCCGAGUUGUAGUCUGGAGAAGUGUCUUCCGCGCUGGACCGUGUACAAGUCCCUUGGAAUAGGGCGUCAUAGAGGGUGAGAAUCCCGUCUUUGACACGGACUCCCAGUGCUUUGUGAUGCGCUCUCAAAGAGUCGAGUUGUUUGGGAAUGCAGCUCAAAAUGGGUGGUAAAUUCCAUCUAAAGCUAAAUAUUGGCGAGAGACCGAUAGCGAACAAGUACCGUGAGGGAA
rnacentral:rRNA from 1 species